rnacentral:rRNA from 1 species
UGAGUGCGAGCGGCUACGGCCGCGAAGUGGGUGAUGUCAAGCUUCCAAGAAAAGCCCUAUACCCGUUAAGGCAUGAUGGCCUGUACCCGAAACCGACACAGGUGGGGUGGUAGAGAAUACCGAGGGGCGCGAGGUAACUCUCUCUAAGGAACUCGGCAAAAUGGCCCCGUAACUUCGGGAGAAGGGGUGCCACCGCAAGGUGGUCGCAGUGAAGAGGCCCAGGCGACUGUUUACCAAAAACACAGGUCUCCGCUAAGUCGCAAGACGAUGUAUGGGGGCUGACGCCUGCCCAGUGCCGGAAGGUUAAGGAAGCUGGUCAGCGCAAGCGAAGCUGGCGACUGAAGCCCCGGUGAACGGCGGCCGUAACUAUAACGGUCCUAAGGUAGCGAAAUUCCUUGUCGGGUAAGUUCCGACCCGCACGAAAGGCGUAACGAUCUGGGCGCUGUCUCGGAGAGAGGCUCGGCGAAAUAGAAUUGUCUGUGAAGAUGCGGACUACGUGCACCCGGACAGAAAGACCCUAUGAAGCUUUACUGUAGCUUGGUAUUGUGCCCGGGCUCUGAAUGCGCAGGAUAGGUGGGAGGCUUUGAUCCAUGGCUUGCGGGUCAUGGUGAGCCAACGGUGAGAUACCACUCUUUCAGAGCUAGGGUUCUAACGGUCACCCGUCAUCCGGGGACCGGACAGUAUCAGGUGGGCAGUUUGACUGGGGCGGUCGCCUCCUAAAAGGUAACGGAGGCGCGCAAAGGUUUGCUCAGGCUGGUUGGAAAUCAGCCGACGAGUGCAAAAGCAGAAGCAAGCUUGACUGUGAGACCUACAAGUCGAACAGGGACGAAAGUCGGCUUUAGUGAUCCGACGGUUCUGAGUGGAAGGGCCGUCGUUCAACGGAUAAAAGUUACUCUAGGAUAACAGGCUGAUCUCCCCCAAGAGUUCACAUCGACGGGGAGGUUUGGCACCUCGAUGUCGGCUCAUCGCAACCUGGGGCUGAAGUCGGUCCCAAGGGUUGGGCUGUUCGCCCAUUAAAGCGGUACGCGAGCUGGGUUCAGAACGUCGUGAGACAGUUCGGUCCAUAUCCGGUGCACGCGCAGGAACAUUGAGAGGAUUUCUCCCUAGUACGAGAGGACCGGGAGGAACGCACCUCUGGUGUGCCAGUUAUCGUGCCAACGGUAAACGCUGGGUAGCCAUGUGCGGAGUGGAUAACCGCUGAAAGCAUCUAAGUGGGAAGCCCACCUCAAGAUGAGUGUUCCCAUGGCAUAAGCCAGUAAGGUCACGGGAAGAACACCCGUUGAUAGGCUCUACGUGGAAGCCGGGUAACCGGUGAAGCGGAGGAGUACUAAUAGACCGAGGGCUUGACC